GGGUGUAGUUAGGCUAAUUUUGAUGAUACUUGUAAUGGGGAUUAGAUUUG
rnacentral:tRNA from 1 species